rnacentral:rRNA from 1 species
CCUACGUGGGGCAGCAGUGGGGAAUAUUGCACAAUGGAGGGAACUCUGAUGCAGCGACGCCGCGUGAGUGAAGAAGUAAUUCGUUAUGUAAAGCUCUAUCAGCAGGGAAGAAAGUGACGGUACCUGAAAACGCCUCGGCUAACUCCGUGCCAGCAGCCGCGGUAAUACGGAGGAUGCGAGCGUUAUCCGGAUUUAUUGGGUUUAAAGGGUGCGUAGGCGGACUGUUAAGUCAGCGGUAAAAGCCCGGGGCUCAACCCCGGCGAGCCGUUGAAACUGGCUGUCUGGAGAUGGCGAGAGGUAUGCGGAAUGCGCAGUGUAGCGGUGAAAUGCUUAGAUAUUGCGCAGAACUCCGAUUGCGAAGGCAGCAUACCGUCGGCGAUCUGACGCUGAGGCACGAAAGCGUGGGUAUCGAACAGGAUUAGAUACCCCAGUAGUC